rnacentral:rRNA from 1 species
GACGAACGCUGGCGGCGUGCUUAACACAUGCAAGUCGAACGGAAAGGCCCUGCUUUUGUGGGGUUCUCGAGUGGCGAACGGGUGAGUAACACGUGAGUAACCUGCCCUUGACUUUGGGAUAACUUCAGGAAACUGGGGCUAAUAUCGGAUAGGAGCUCCUGCUGCAUGGUGGGGGUUGGAAAGUUUCGGCGGUUGGGGAUGGACUCGCGGCUUAUCAGCUUGUUGGUGGGGUAGUGGCUUACCAAGGCUUUGACGGGUAGCCGGCCUGAGAGGGUGACCGGCCACAAUGGGCCUGAGGUACGGCCCAGAGUGAUACGGGAGGCAGCAGUGGGGAAUAUUGCACAAUGGGCGGAAGCCUGAUGCAGCAACGCCGCGUGCGGGAUGACGGCCUACGGGUUGUAAACCGCUUUCGCCUGUGACGAAGCGUGAGUGACGGUAAUGGGUAAAGAAGCACCGGCUAACUACGUG